rnacentral:rRNA from 1 species
UGCGAGCGUUGUCCGGAAUUACUGGGCGUAAAGAGUUCGUAGGCGGUUUGUCGCGUCGUUUGUGAAAACCCGGGGCUCAACUUCGGGCUUGCAGGCGAUACGGGCAGACUUGAGUGUUUCAGGGGAGACUGGAAUUCCCUGGUGUAGCCUGAAAUGGGGCAGAUAUCAGGAGGAACACCGGUGGCGAAGGCGGGUCUCUGGGAAACAACUGACGCUGAGGAACGAAAGCGUGGGUAGCAAAACAGGAUUAGAUACCCUGGUAGUCCACGCCGUAAACGGUGGGCGCUACCUGUGGGUUCCUUCCACGGAAUCUGUGCCGUAGCUAACGCAUUAAGCGCCCCGCCUGGGGAGUACGGCCGCAAGGCUAAAACUCAAAGGAAUUGACGGGGGCCCGCACA